AUUCAGUGAAUCAUCGAAUCUUUGAACGCACCUUGCGCUCCUUGGUAUUCCGAGGAGCAUGCCUGUUUGAGUGUCAUUA
rnacentral:rRNA from 2 species